ACAAUGUGGACACUCUCCCCGGGCUCUGUCCAGGUGGCAUAGGGGAGCACAGGGCUCUGCUGCUGGUGCAUGGUGCCUGGUCCUUUUCUACAACGUCAGAGAUCAAGGCGGGCCUUGAGUCUAUGCCUGCAUAGGUAUUCCCACAACUGCUCAGAGUCCUGUGGACAGUAAUGAGGAGACAAGCCAUGCAGGAAAGCACC